UUGGCCAAAUGAAAGCUGUAUAGUUUGUAGGACUGGAAUUACUGGGCACUGAACAUUUGCUACAUUUUCUUCCAAGAAUGGUUAAUCCACAGAUACUCCACUGAUACUACAGCUGGAAUUAUCUGCGGAAGAUAUGGCAGGGCAGCUUUCCACAGAGGAGAGAGAAGAAGGAGAUUUCAAAGUGAUGGAGAACAUUUUUGAGAAUCUUUCAGUUAUUUUGGACAUACUUGACAACUUGAGGCUUAGAAGACCACUUGGACAUCAUGAAACCCAUUGAGAAGAAAUACCCAGAGCUCGGAGGACCAGGAGCACACCUGAAAGAAAUUAGACUUAAAAUUAACCCUGACUUAAUAGACUAAGUACUGUUGCUUAUAAUACCACUUGUUCUUAAGGUACUUUGCAACAGCUAGCAGUAGAUGCUGCAGAUCUUGUCUUCCUUCUUUUCUUGAUUGUACAUAUCAUUAUUCCUGUAAGACAAGGAAACAAAGAAAGGCUGAAUGAAACCAAGGUCCAGUAUUUGGUUUCGUUCUCUUCUUGAGUAAGGUCAGAGCUAGCAAGGAAAAAGCAAAAUAGCUAAGGAGAGUUUCUUGUCUUGUUCCUUGUUCUAAGGAGUGUUAUCGCCAUCAUCCUGUUUCCUUUUCAAUUUUGAAGACUUAAUGUGUAAAGGGUCUGGACUUUCAGAAAUGUAAAAUUUACUUCUAAAUAAAGUGAGCAAAGAAGUGAAUUUUGAGAGUGUA
rnacentral:lncRNA from 1 species